AUCUGUUUCUGUCGCUGUCUCUCUCUCUCUCUCUCUCCCUCUCUCUCUCUCUCUCUCUCUCUCUCGCUCUCUCUCUUUCUCUCUCUGUCUCUCUCUGCCUCUCUCUGCCUCUCUCUGCCUCUCUCUGCCUCUCUCUGCCUCCCUCUCUCUCUCUCUCUCUCUCUGCCUCCCUCUCUCUCUCACCCUCUCUCUCUCUCACCCCCUCUCUCUCUCUUUCUCUCUACAGUGGAGAGGGUGAAGAAGGAGGCAGCAGAACAGGCUCGGAGAGCGGCAGAAGAGCAGAUUCAGAUUCAGCAACAGCUGAUGGAAAAGAUUGAGAAAGAACGAGAGAUCACCAAACAGGAAUAUAAACAAGUGCUGGAGGCCAGACUUAAGGAGCUGAAGGACCUAACAGAUAAAGGCUUUAAAGAAAUAGGAGAAUACAUGGAGAAAAACAAAAACGCCAUUCAAAGUAACGAUAAUCCAACUCCUCAAAAUAAUGUCUCCAAAAUGUUGGAUGGAGUUGGGACUAUUUGUUCCUUUGUUCCUGGCGUUGGCACUGCGAUUGGGGGCGGUCUUAUCGCCAGUGCCAAAGCUUUAGACUACGCUUCAGAACUCGUAAAGUAACUGUCAGAUUUGUAUAAAAUGUGACCGAUUAUUAAUAAAAAUAUGAGGGAAAUAUUUUCCCUUAAAAUUAAAAAAAAAAAAGACGGUCCUUAGGUUUGUUUUCUGUGUUGGAAUGGUGUGGGUCUGUACAGAAACAGAAGGCUGUGAGUGUAUACCAGUCAUUGUAUAUAUUCAUGCAGGUAGACCACUGAUUGGCCAGCUUUGCCAAAGAUGGCAUCAUUCUCUAUGAGGAAAUAGAGCACAUUUUUUUUAAACUGUAUGUUUGAGAUACAAAGUUUGACGUUGUUUAAAAAAUAUUUUAAAACUCUCCAAUUUAUGAUUUGGCCACAAUUCCGAGUAUUGGAAGAGUCAACAACAGUAUUCCGGUAUGAGGUAACAGAAUUUGUACGAUUUACACUGGACAGUUACUUUAAAGGGGCAACAGCCCAAAUGCAUACUGUACUUUGUAAUGGAAACAAAUAAGCGGCACUUGGCCAGCUGAAGGCCAGCUGAAUGACAGGCACCUCAGGUUGUUCUUGGCCAGCUGAAGGACAGGCACCUCAGGCUGUUCUUGGCCAGCUGAAGGCCAGGCACCUCAGGUUGUUCUUGGCUAGCUGAAUGCCAGGCACCUCAGGUUGUUCUUGGCUAGCUGAAGGCAUGCUGAAGGCCAGCUAGCACUCAGGCUGGUUCUUGCCAGCUGAAGGCCAGCUGAAGGCCAGGCACCUCAGGCUGUUCUUGGCCAGCUGAAGGCCAGCUGAAGGCCGGCACCUCAGGCUGUUCUUGGCCAGCUGAAGGCCAGCUGAAGGCCAGGCAACUCAGGCUGUUCUUGGCCAGCUGAAGGCCAGCUGAAGGCCAGGCAACUCAGGCUGUUCUUGGCCAGCUGAAGGCCAGCUGAAGGCCAGGCACAUCAGUGUUCUUGGCCAGCUGAAGGCCAGCUGAAGGCCAGGCACCUCAGGAUGUUCUUGGCUAGCUGAAGGCCAGCUAAGGCGCAGACACCAAAAGACUGAAAUUAACAUGUUUUGCGUUGAUCCAUAGUAUUAAAAAAUACACAUAAAUUCAACUGGGAACUGGAUUGUUAUAACGAUAAGGGGGGAAACAUUACCUGAUGAGGUGCCUGGCCUUAAAGCCACAGUCUAAUAAUUAUUUUGAUUUUCCUUUACUUCUAGCGGUGUCCUUUCUUUUAAUUUUUACUGUAAAGUGUAUUGCAUUUUAAAUAAAGAAGAUUGAUUUGAUAAACAAACUAUUUAUAAUAAUGUUAGCCACAAUUUGUUUAUUAUAUCUAAUCUAGUAAAUGAUGAGUCUAUUAUUAACUGUGGAUAAAGAAGUGACAAAGUUUUGCCAAAAUUUCUAAUUACUUCUAAUCGCUUACAUUACUUUAUGACAGUAAUGUAACCUUUAUUGUAAAGAGUUACCAAAUAUGAUAUCUUUCCAUUCACAUGUAAAAUAUGACACAGUAAAGAUUUAUCUUUAGAAAAAAGGUGUGAUUUAAAUUAACGUUCUAACUAGUGAAAAGCAGUGAUUUGGAUAGGCGUGCCGAUCAGAAUAAUACAGUUUAAAAUGUAAAGAAAAUAAAAAAUCCGCUGAGAAAAAAUGCAUUUCCUGUUUUUCUUAAGGUAUACACAGAACAAGGUGUACUAAUGCAGAAAGAGAGUCAUUUGAUUAGAACACAACGUGGUGAAAUGUAUCGAUUAAUGCAUUCUAGCCUGAGUUUUGUCAUAUCCACAUCACCUCUUCAUCCAGGACGAACAAAUUGUUGUUAUGUAUAACACAGGGGUACUUAGAUCAUCACAUGUUGUUGAAUUAGUAAGAGCCACAAUACCCUGCUCAAAAGCCUGCACUACGACACUGCACGGAGCCACACACACACACAACACACACACACACACACACACACACACACACACACACACACAACACACACACACACACACACCACACCACACACACACACACACCACACACACACACAACAACACACACACACACACACUCCCUCUCUGUCUGUCUCUUUCUCUCUGUCUCUCUUUCUCUCUCAACAAAAUGAAGGGUGAAGGUUAGCUUUAUCAGAAACUUGUCCUCUUCCAGGGCAUGAUGAGAAGUGUAUUUAGGCAGGAAUAGUUCCUUCCUAUCCUUUAUUCCUUCUGUUUUAAAGACAUGUUGGCACCAUCCGUGCACACCUCUUUA
rnacentral:lncRNA from 1 species